GAUGAACGCUGGCGGCGUGCCUAAUACAUGCAAGUCGAGCGAACAGAUGAGGAGCUUGCUCCUCUGACGUUAGCGGCGGACGGGUGAGUAACACGUGGAUAACCUACCUAUAAGACUGGGAUAACUACGGGAAACCGGAGCUAAUACCGGAUAAUAUAUUGAACCGCAUGGUUCAAUAGUGAAAGACGGUUUUGCUGUCACUUAUAGAUGGAUCCGCGCCGCAUUAGCUAGUUGGUAAGGUAACGGCUUACCAAGGCAACGAUGCGUAGCCGACCUGAGAGGGUGAUCGGCCACACUGGAGCUGAGACACGGUCCAGACUCCUACGGGAGGCAGCAGUAGGGAAUCUUCCGCAAUGGGCGAAAGCCUGACGGAGCAACGCCGCGUGAGUGAUGAAGGUCUUCGGAUCGUAAAACUCUGUUAUUAGGGAAGAACAAAUGUGUAAGUAACUAUGCACGUCUUGACGGUACCUAAUCAGAAAGCCACGGCUAACUACGUG
rnacentral:rRNA from 1 species